rnacentral:rRNA from 1 species
CCUCCCGGGCGGGUCGGCGCCCGCCGGAGGAUAAGGCCGUUCUGAUUUAACGACGUUUCUUCUGAGUGGUACAAGCAAAUAAUCAAAACUUUUAACAACGGAUCUCUUGGUUCUGGCAUCGAUGAAGAACGCAGCGAAAUGCGAUAAGUAAUGUGAAUUGCAGAAUUCAGUGAAUCAUCGAAUCUUUGAACGCACAUUGCGCCCGCCAGCAUUCUGGCGGGCAUGCCUGUUCGAGCGUCAUUUCAACCCUCAAGCUCUGCUUGGUGUUGGGGCCCUACAGCUGAUGUAGGCCCUCAAAGGUAGUGGCGGACCCUCCCGGAGCCUCCUUUGCGUAGUAACUUUACGUCUCGCACUGGGAUCCGGAGGGACUCUUGCCGUAAAACCCCCAAUUCUCCAAAGGUUGACCUCGGAUCAGGUAGGAAUACCCGCUGAACUUAAGCAUAUCAAUAAGGAG